CAGAAAACAAAAAUUGUUUUAUUAAAUCAGUUCGACUUUACAUUUAAAAAGUACAAAUAAGUCUUCAUAUUAAAAGUUUAAUUUUUACUGUAAAAGUCGUUUUUUUAAUUAAAAAGUAUCCUUUUUUGGUUUACAGUGUAGAUUUAAAAGUAUUUUCUUUCACCGUAAUAAUUAUUCAAAUGUCAAAUUGGAACGAAAAUUCCAAAAACAAACAAACAAAAUAAAAUUUAUCGAUGAUCAGUUCACAACAAGACAACAGUCAACUGAGCCAGAUCAGCUUUCCACAGAUUUAUAUCAAAAUUUGAUAAAAUAAUGACGCCAAAGAGAAGGGAACGCCACCAUAAAAACAAUGAGCGACAUGGCGGUUUUUCAUUUCAACUUCCGAAGCGGAGCUAAUUCAUGCAACCUAAUCCACACUAUACGUUUCAAGCGGAAGUCCCGAGGGAAGGCCUGUACAAAUUUAAUAAGACCAGUUACGUGGAGAACCAUCGUUCUUGAUUUCAUCUGAAAUAAUAAGCAUGCCAAUUAAAUGAGCCUACGAAGGAAUGAAUACGAUCCAUUCUGCUUGUUCGGAUGAUCUGAAUGAACUUGCGGCAGCAUGAAUCGUCUCGAGUUUAUGUGGCCCAUAAUUGUUUGUUAUUACGGUUAUUACUCAAACAUUCAAAACUCGAGUAUAAAGAAUACUAUCAUUUCAGUUUAAUUAGUCUGCUAUAAUGAAAUAUAAAGAAAAACUA